GUCCUUCAAGGACAUACGACAAAAUUGGAACGAUAAAAAGAAGAUUAGCAUGCCCCUACGUAAAGAUGACACGCCCAAAUUGAGAAAUGGUCCAAAAACCU